rnacentral:lncRNA from 1 species
GAAAACACCGAAGGCAGCAGCAACAAUGGUUCUGGUCACAGUGGCUUUCUUCGGCUUAUGUUCUUCCCUUCUGCAUGUAUGCUCUUUCCUUUUAUGCUUCUUCGUUCUGCUGCCUCUGGUUCUGCAGGCUAGUUGCUGAGGACUGUGAAGACGAUAGUCAACGCCGGUUCUCGUCCCUGCCCUUUCGUCCGAUGGGCUGAGUUUGCGUCUCCUUUGCUCCUGGUUUUAGAGUCUGUCACCCUCAGUUCUGAGAUGAAGGGACAAAGGCGAUGGUGGGGCUGCUCCUCGUCUCUGUGUCGUUCCUCUGCUUUU